rnacentral:misc_RNA from 1 species
AAGUCGUAACAAGGUUUCCGUAGGUGAACCUGCGGAAGGAUCAUUAACAAAUCUACAACACACCCUGUGUAAACGUUGGCGUUCCCGUGGCAGUGUAGACAUGAGAGAGAAUGUGAGGAGAGGGGCGAGGAGAGGGUCAGUCGUCGUUGCUGUGCACCAUGAUGUCAUGUCAUGGUUAGCGGUGGCGGUGACCGGCCACUCCUACCACCCGCCCCACACACACUCACCACACACCACCACGGGACACGCGCAUCUCUAUACUAUGUUGAUUGACUGCCUAAGUAGAUAUCAUGAAAGCUA